AUGGAGGAUGCUAGUAUGGAGUUCCUGCAUGACGCCGUUGAAAGGUUCCCCCUGAGAGAGGAAUUCGCUGACAACUUUGAGCACCCAGAUCCGAUUCCCCUCGUCUUCUUGGCGGACGAUGUAGCCGGUCAUGUGGUUCUUGCGGAAUCUAAUACUGGGUCUGGUUGCGCGAAAAAGGUCGGAGACAAUGGAACACGUAGAGCGCGUGAAGGAGUUCGUCGUCGCCAUGAUGCAUUUCCGACAAGGUCGGCGCAAUCCACAAGCGCCUGGCUGGACAAAAAGGCUGCGGUUAGGCAGUGUGCCACCAAACCGGGCACCGUGUCCUUCUCGGAUGAGCGCUCUGGAGCAGUCGACCCGCAAGUAUGCAGAGGAGCUGAUAAGAGUGUAGUACGGCCUGAACUUGGUUUGAGUUUUGAUUCAUUGGGCGAGGCGCGCGACUUCUAUAAUUUGUACUCUUGGGAGAUCAGCUUUGGAAUAUGGUACGGGAAAAGCAGACUAAACGCCGAGAGGACUAAAGUACGGAAAAAGCAGACUAAAUGUGCGUACUCAUGGGGUUAUACCAGUGAGAUAGGGUGA
rnacentral:rRNA from 1 species